rnacentral:rRNA from 1 species
GACGAACGCUGGCGGCGUGCCUAAUACAUGCAAGUAGAACGCACAGUUUAUACCGUAGCUUGCUACACCAUAGACUGUGAGUUGCGAACGGGUGAGUAACGCGUAGGUAACCUGCCUGGUAGCGGGGGAUAACUAUUGGAAACGAUAGCUAAUACCGCAUAAUAUUAAUUAUUGCAUGAUAAUUAAUUGAAAGGUGCAAUUGCACCACUACCAGAUGGACCUGCGUUGUAUUAGCUAGUAGGUGAGGUAACGGCUCACCUAGGCGACGAUACAUAGCCGACCUGAGAGGGUGAUCGGCCACACUGGGACUGAGACACGGCCCAGACUCCUACGGGAGGCAGCAGUAGGGAAUCUUCGGCAAUGGACGAAAGUCUGACCGAGCAACGCCGCGUGAGUGAAGAAGGUGUUCGGAUCGUAAAGCUCUGUUGUAAGAGAAGAACGGGUGUGAGAGUGGAAAGUUCACACUGUGACGGUAUCUUACCAGAAAGGGACGGCUAACUACGUG